rnacentral:rRNA from 1 species
UACGGAGGGUGCAAGCGUUAUCCGGAUUCACUGGGUUUAAAGGGUGCGUAGGUGGGCAGGUAAGUCAGUGGUGAAAUCUCCGAGCUUAACUCGGAAACUGCCGUUGAUACUAUUUGUCUUGAAUAUUGUGGAGGUAAGCGGAAUAUGUCAUGUAGCGGUGAAAUGCUUAGAUAUGACAUAGAACACCGAUUGCGAAGGCAGCUCACUAAAUUGUAACUGACGCUGAGGCACGAAAGCGUGGGGAUCAAACAGG